GUUUGGGUGGCCUAGCGGUUAGAACAUCCGCCUCGGAUGUGGGAGGUCGCAGGUUUGGUCCCUGCUGAGUCAUACU